rnacentral:rRNA from 1 species
AUGGCGUCAGGAGUGAACGGCUAGCUACAGGCGUUAACUACAUGCGAAGUACGUGGGGCGAGCAUGGCGUGGAGGCUUGCUUCAGCUGAUGGCGACCGGCGCACGGGUGAGUAACGCGUAUCCAACCUUCCCAUGACAGGGGAAUAACCUUGCGAAAGUAAGACUAAUGCCCCAUGGUCUCCGACGACGGCAUCAGACUCGGAGUAAAGGCCUCGGCCGGUGAUGGAUGGGGAUGCGUCCGAUUAGCUUGACGGCGGGGUAACGGCCCACCGUGGCACCGAUCGGUAGGGGUUCUGAGAGGAAGGUCCCCCACAUUGGAACUGAGACACGGUCCAAACUCCUACGGGAGGCAGCAGUGAGGAAUAUUGGUCAAUGGGCGGGAGCCUGAACCAGCCAAGUAGCGUGCAGGACGACGGCCCUAUGGGUUGUAAACUGCUUUUGCGCGGGGAUAAAGUUCGCCACGUGUGGCGUUUUGCAGGUACCGCAUGAAUAAGGACCGGCUAAUUCCGUG